UUUCCGUAGGUGAACCUGCGGAAGGAUCAUUAUCAAAAUAGCGGACUUCGGUACUUGCUAUACCCUUGUCUUUUGCGUACCGUAUGUUUCCUCGGGGGGCUUGCCCCCCGUUAGGACACCCCAUAAACCUUUUUGUAAUAGCAGUUAGCGUCUGAAAACUAAGUUAAUUAUUAAAACUUUCAACAAUGGAUCUCUUGGUUCUGGCAUCGAUGAAGAACGCAGC
rnacentral:misc_RNA from 1 species